UGCUAUGUUGGUAAAUUGAACUAAAAAAAAAUCUAGCAAAGGAAAAAAUGACCUGAAGCAAGUAUAAACACAGAGCCAUUAUUUAGAUAAACCCACAGGCAACACCGACAUUAGUUAUCCAGGGGUCCUGGAUCUGCUUUCUGUAGGUAGAUGAGUCUUGAUUUAUUUUAUUUAUAUAUUUGUUUAUAUUUAUUUAUUUAUUUAUUUAUUUAGUCUUGAUUUUAAAAAUGCAGCUCUUGGGUGGCUCAGUUGGUUAAGCAUCUGUUUGACUCUUGCUCUUGGCUCAGGUCUUAAUCUCAGGGUCAUGAGCCUACUUAAUAAAAAUAAAGUAAGAAUAAAGAUGCCACUCUGUCAGGUCAGAAACUUUCUCACAGAUCUAUUGAAGGAUAAAGCUGCCACAGUCCGGCUGCAUUUUACAUGAGUCACUAAUCGAGAUCGUAUUUAUAAAGAAGCAUUCUUUCUUAAAGCAGGACAGGAAAUAAGCCAGAGGAGGUCAAGAAGCUCGCUUGUGGUGAAGUCAGGGCCAAUUUACACACUUUACCUGGACACCCCACCAGGUUAUCAACUUCCCCCAGUAACUUGAAAGGUCAUAACUUGAGAUGGCAAACAGUGACUGAGGGCUCACGUUUAUCUGUUCCUCCCAAAGUUCACCGAACUUCAAAAACUCUAUAAUGGCUGUCAAGGAAAAAAUAAAGUACAAGAACAGAAAUUCUGAGCAAUUCUGAAAUAGAAGAUGGCAGGUAGGUUUCAUUAGUAGAAAAGACUGAAGCUGAAAUGUUUAGAGAAGGUGGCUGGGGAGGUGGGUGAGAGCUUUACAAAAACUCCGCGGUGAGGCCGGCAGGUGCAGAGGGCAGGUAUGGGCAAGGGGCAUAUGCCAGGGUGUUGACCUGAGGGUGUUCUGGAGAACAGCUGUGCCAGGGUGCCAUGGCCUCUUCCCCUGGCUCCCAGGUAAGGGGAGCAGCCAACUGCAGGUACCAGUGAUGGUGAAGCCUGAUUUCUCACAAAGGGGACUCUGCCCUGUAAGGUGUUGGGAAGUGGGCGAUUAAAUUAUAAUUUAAUUUUUAAAAGUGAGUUGAGCAUUUUCUAAUGUGUCCAGUCAAUUAAAACAUUUCUAGGCUGGGCUGCAUCCCUUUUCCACAGCCCCUGGGUCUUGAUCCAAGGUCGUAGAGAGAUCUUGUGCAAAAUGGAAACUCAAGGAUGUGAGAACCCAUGACCCAGUCACCAGCACCACAGAUGUGGAGGUUUUCUCUGGCAUCAGAGGAAAGAAGCUCAGCUGAGCUUUCUCCUGACGUGGCGCUACACCAGCCUUUCCACCCAACUGGCCAAGCAUCUCUCAGCUGAAAUGAUCCUCAGUAGUUUGAGUCCUCAACUUACAGUAUUCUUUGAAUGCCAAAGGUGACAGCACAGAGUAGACGUGAGGGCAAACCACACUGGCAUGACCACCCAUGGUGGAGAGUCUCCUGGCAAGGCUGUGGGUUCUGAAGAUGGACAGCCUUGCUCCAGUCCUGAGUCUACGGUUUGUUCGCUGUGAAAUGACUUAAGUUUCAAUCAUUCCAAGAUCUCAUGUCUAUUUCCUCAAGUAUAAAACGAGAACGUGCUGCUUACAUCAGGCCUGUACCAGGCACGUUGUGGAUAGUCAACAACUGUGGAAAAUGCUCCGUUCCCCCAUCACUCCACAUUUCCUUGAGCAAGAGAAAUUGAAGCACAGUGGGAGAGAAAAUGAACUCGCACCUAAUACUUUGCCCGUCUGUCAGCAGAUGAGACCCAGGGUGUAGGGGAGGAAAUCUUUGAAUUCACCCUCCGUGUAUUUCCCAUCUUUCAGACCUUCCUAAAGGUAGACGACAAACGGGUGCUGCUCAGCAAUGGGCGUUGAGCCAAUCCGAUCUAGGAAGGAGAAAUCUUGGGCAACAAUGUUUUUUCCUCGCCAUGUAUUUGAGGUUGAUGAGCAGCCCAGGAUGAGCCAUGAGUCUAAGCAAUAUUUUGUAUGUUCAUACUUGGGAAUUUCUUUUGCUGUCUCCCAUCCCCCAAUACAGCUUUUUAUCAUCACGUUCCUGUUUUGGCUUGGCUGCCUUGCACUAUCCAAGAAGGAUCCUGCUCCGUUCCUGGGCACGAAGUCCUCUUAAAAAUGGUGUGGUGGGGGCAGGGAUGAUUAUCAACCCACCUCCCUCCUUGCCAUCACCCAUGGAGAGGUGACGGGAGGGAGUUCUCGUGCAGGUCCCAAGAGUGUGAUGAGGGAGGAGGAGCGUUGCUCUCCUGUCAGCAGUAACAGGAAUGCUGGAGAGAGCUGCUUCUGUCUUUCUCUCUGGACUCUGGAAAUCACAGACAGUCCUGAGGUCCUGAAACCACUUGCCACGGACCUGGUCCUCGCUGCACAAGAACAGGAGAUGGACAUCAAGCAUACCUUUGAGAAGUGCCUGGACACCAGCCUUUACACACAAUUCCUCACGUUUUAUGGAAGAGAGGAAUUCGCAUUUUGCUUUAAAGUUUGUAAGAAGAAAUGCUCUUAGAUAGAUAUUCUAGACCAGGGCCAUCCAUCAGAAACAUACCGUGAGCCAAGUAUGUCAUAUUAAAAUUUCAGUAAAUUCUCAUUAAAAAAUUGAAAUUUAUUUUCAUCAUUUCAACAUGUAACGAUAGGAAUGCUUAAAUACUAACACUCUGUUUUUUCACACUGUCAUCAAAAUCCAGUAUGAAUUUUAUGCUCACUAGCACAGUCUCCACUUGGAGCGGCCACAUCUCCAGGGUGCAAUAACUCCACAGCACUGGUGGCUGCCUUCCUGGACACUGGGGAGCAAGAGUUUGCAUAAGAAAAUGGUCAGCUCGUAUGUUCUUUUUUGUUUGUUUGUUUUAGCUCUUAUGUUCUUGCUGGUUAUUUACAACAUUCCAGUAAAGGUUAAAAAUUAGGCUAAUUAUAAAAAGGUUGAAGGAAAAAUUCAACCUCCUGUGACAGUUUGCAACUUGUAGUGAACCAACACAUUCUCUAGGUAUCUGAUAUUGCAGAUCACCGUAACGAGACGGUUGCAAGUCAGUCUUGGGAGGUAAGAGGUUGAAUUGCUUCUUGGCGCUCUGAAGGCUGCUCCUGUUGGCCUCCGUUGUAGCUGUUUCAUUCCAUGGGCAGUUCUGAAACAGCAGCCAGGUGCUGCUAAGGAACACCCAAAAGAAGAGACAGGUUUAGCGAGGCCCCCAGAGUGCUUCUAAUGUCACGCGUCCUGGGCUGGUAGGUGGUGCCAGGACCAGCCCUGAGGUCUCCUGGCCCAAAUGUAUACCCAGACGCAAGUCCACCCCUCCUUUAGUCCUCACCAAGUUCCCCAAGGAAAUUUGGAUGUCUCUUGCAGGUUGUUAUCAGCAACGGAAGGGAGAAAAGCCAACGGUUCCAUCACUUCAUGCUUGCCAUUGUCUGCAAGAACUUUCCAGUGUGACGUUGUGGAUGCACAAAGAAAUCUAAGAUACAGAUUGCAGAAAUUGUGUCCUCUAAUCAGAGUGCUCAUCCCUAAAAAUUUGCUGGCCACUUGAGUGCCCUUGGACAAGUUUCUCCUCUCAAAUAUAACAAGAAACCUUUUCCAUCACAGGAUAUAGGAUCCAGGCUGAUGGGACCAGAGAAGGAUGCAUAGAGUGGGGGAGAGUCUGAUAUUUCUAAUAACAUGUACACAAUUUAUGUGUACCUUCCUGGAGUUUAAAAGUUAGGAUGCUUAGCUCUGGAAGAAGUCAGAAGCAUUGGAGCUGCUCUUGGAGAAAAGGGGUCUGGAGCUGGAUCAGCAAUAUCUCCAAGCCACCCAGAUUGUGGAUGCUCCGGGAAAUGAAUACAGAAAGUAACUGAGGCCUCCUGCCAGCACAGCACCAAAUUGCCAGUCAAGUGGGCGAGCCAUCUUGGAAAUGCUCCUCCAGCUUCAGGCAACAUCUAACUGCAACCUCACGAGAGACCUAAGCCAGAAUU